rnacentral:rRNA from 1 species
GACGAACGCUGGCGGCGUGCUUAACACAUGCAAGUCGAACGGAAAGGCCCUGCUUGCAGGGUACUCGAGUGGCGAACGGGUGAGUAACACGUGGGUUAUCUGCCCUGCACUUCGGGAUAAGCCUGGGAAACUGGGUCUAAUACCGGAUAGGAGCCAUUUUUAGUGUGAUGGUUGGAAAGUUUUUUCGGUGUAGGAUGAGCUCGCGGCCUAUCAGCUUGUUGGUGGGGUAAUGGCCUACCAAGGCGGCGACGGGUAGCCGGCCUGAGAGGGUGGACAGCCACAUUGGGACUGGGAUACGGCCCAGACUCCUACGGGAGGCAGCAGUGGGGAAUAUUGCACAAUGGGCGCAAGCCUGAUGCAGCGACGCCGCGUGGGGGAUGACGGCCUUCGGGUUGUAAACUCCUUUCGCUAGGGACGAAGCUUUUUGUGACGGUACCUAGAUAAGAAGCACCGGCUAACUACGUG